AUGAACGCUGGCGGCGUGCCUAACACAUGCAAGUCGAACGAAGCUUGACGGAUGAUUUCUUCGGAAUGAAACCAGAUAUGACUUAGUGGCGGACGGGUGAGUAACACGUGAGCAACCUGCCUUUCAGAGGGGGAUAACGGCUGGAAACGGUCGCUAAUACCGCAUGACGUGUUCGGAUGGCAUCAUCUGAACAUCAAAGAUUUAUCGCUGAAAGAUGGGCUCGCGUCUGAUUAGAUAGUUGGUGGGGUAACGGCCUACCAAGUCGACGAUCAGUAGCCGGACUGAGAGGUUGAACGGCCACAUUGGGACUGAGAUACGGCCCAGACUCCUACGGGAGGCAGCAGUGGGGAAUAUUGCACAAUGGGGGAAACCCUGAUGCAGCAACGCCGCGUGAAGGAUGACGGUUUUCGGAUUGUAAACUUCUUUUCUUAGUGACGAAGACAGUGACGGUAGCUAAGGAAUAAGCAUCGGCUAACUACGUGCCAGCAGCCGCGGUAAUACGUAGGAUGCAAGCGUUAUCCGGAUUUAUUGGGCGUAAAGGGAGCGCAGGCGGUCAGGAAAGUCUGGAGUAAAAGGCUAUGGCUCAACCAUAGUGUGCUCUGGAAACUGUCUGACUUGAGUGCAGAAGGGGAGAGUGGAAUUCCAUGUGUAGCGGUGAAAUGCGUAGAUAUUCGGAGGAACACCAGUGGCGAAGGCGGCUUGCUGGGCUUUAACUGACGCUGAGGCUCGAAAGUGUGGGGAGCAAACAGGAUUAGAUACCCUGGUAGUCCACACUGUAAACGAUGAUAGCUAGGUGUGGGGGGUCUGACCCCUUCCGUGCCGGAGUUAACGCAAUAAGCUAUCCACCUGGGGAGUACGACCGCAAGGUUGAAACUCAAAGGAAUUGACGGGGGCCCGCACAAGCAGUGGAUUAUGUGGUUUAAUUCGAAGCAACGCGAAGAACCUUACCAGGUCUUGACAUCCGACUAACGAGAUAGAGAUAUGUCAGGUGCCCUUCGGGGAAAGUCGAGACAGGUGGUGCAUGGUUGUCGUCAGCUCGUGUCGUGAGAUGUUGGGUUAAGUCCCGCAACGAGCGCAACCCCUGCCAUUAGUUGCUACGCAAGAGCACUCUAAUGGGACCGCUACCGACAAGGUGGAGGAAGGUGGGGACGACGUCAAAUCAUCAUGCCCCUUAUGACCUGGGCUACACACGUAAUACAAUGGCCGUUAACAGAGGGAAGCAAAGCGGUGUCGCAGAGCAAAACCCUAAAAACGGUCCCAGUUCGGACUGUAGGCUGCAACCCGCCUACACGAAGUUGGAAUUGCUAGUAAUCGCGGAUCAGCAUGCCGCGGUGAAUACGUUCCCGGGCCUUGUACACACCGCCCGUCACACCAUGGGAGUUUGUAACACCCGAAGUCAGUGACCCAACCGCAAGGAGGGAGCUGCCGAAGGUGGGAUAAGCGACUGGGGUG
rnacentral:rRNA from 1 species